AUUGAACGCUGGCGGCAGGCCUAACACAUGCAAGUCGAGCGAGCGGCGGACGGGGGAGUAAUGUCUGGGAAACUGCCUGAUGGAGGGGGAUAACUACUGGAAACGGGAGCAAAUACCGCAUACCAUCAGAGGUGCCCAGAUGGGAGUAGCUAGUAGGUGGGGUAACGGCUCACCUAGGCGACGAUCCCUAGCGGGUCUGAGAGGAUGCACAGCCACACUGGACCUGAGACACGGUCCAGACUCCUACGCGAGGCAGCAGUGGGGAAUAUUGCACAAUGGGGGCCAGCCUGAUGCAGCCAUGCCGCGUGUGUGAAGACGGCCUUCGGGUUGUAAAGCACUUUCAGCGGGGAGGCGUUACCCGCAGAAGAAGCACCGGCUAACUCCGUGCCAGCAGCCGCGGUAAUAC
rnacentral:rRNA from 1 species